rnacentral:rRNA from 1 species
GACGAACGCUGGCGGCGUGCUUAACACAUGCAAGUCGAACGGAAAGGCCUUUUCGGAGGUACUCGAGUGGCGAACGGGUGAGUAACACGUGGGUGAUCUGCCCUGCACUCUGGGAUAAGCCUGGGAAACUGGGUCUAAUACCGGAUAGGACCGCACUUUAGUGUGUGUGGUGGAAAGUUUUUUCGGUGUAGGAUGAGCCCGCGGCCUAUCAGCUUGUUGGUGGGGUAAUGGCCUACCAAGGCGGCGACGGGUAGCCGGACUGAGAGGUUGGUCGGCCACAUUGGGACUGAGAUACGGCCCAGACUCCUACGGGAGGCAGCAGUGGGGAAUAGUGCACAAUGGGCGCAAGCCUGAUGCAGCGACGCCGCGUGGGGGAUGACGGCCUUCGGGUUGUAAACUCCUUUCGCCAGGGACGAAGCGUUUUGUGACGGUACCUGGAGAAGAAGCACCGGCUAACUACGUG